rnacentral:rRNA from 1 species
GACGAACCGUGCGAACGUUGUUCGGAUUCACUGGGCUUAAAGGGCGCGUAGGCGGGAGACCAAGUCAGGGGUGAAAUCUUUCGGCCCAACCGGAAAAGUGCCCCUGAUACUGGCCGCCUCGAGGGGGGUAGGGGCAUGCGGAACUUCCGGUGGAGCGGUGAAAUGCGUAGAUAUCGGAAGGAACGCCGGUGGCGAAAGGCGGCGUG